rnacentral:rRNA from 1 species
AGUGAACGCUGGCGGCGUGCCUAAUACAUGCAAGUCGAGCGAACGGACAGUAAGCGUUCGUCUCUGCUGUUGGCGAGUGACGGAUGGGUAACACGUGCAUAGCCUACCUAUAUUACUUGGAUAACUUCGUGGAACCGUAUCUGAUAACAGAGAAUAUGUUGAACCGCAUGGAUCAAGAGUUAAAGACGCUCUGCCUGUCACUUUGAGAUGAAUCCGGGCUGCAUUAGCUAGUUGGUAAGGUAACGGCUUACCAAGGCAACGAUGCAUAGCCGACCUGAGAGGGUGAUCGGCCACACUGGAACUGAGACACGGUCCAGACUCCUACGGGAGGCAGCAGUAGGGAAUAUUCCGCAAUGGGCGAAAGCCUGACCGAGCAAUGCCGCGUGAGUGAUGAAGGUCUUCGGAUUGUAAAGCUCUGUUAUUAGGGAAGAAAAGCUGCGUAAGUAACCCCCGAUAUUCUGACGGUACCUAAUGAGAAAGCACCGGCUAACUACGUG